CUGGGAUGCCCCGGCAGCUGCCGCAGCUCGGAGGGGAGGGACAGCGACCCGGAGGAUUCCUUGCCUCGCAGCUGCCGCCCCAGCAGAGCUCUCCCACAUUCUAAGGAGAAGAGGAUUCAUUCCUGAGACAGCUGCUCAGAGCAGUGGAGGCGGGAUUCACUGGGCCCUGAAACGGGAAGGGGGAUUGCCUCUCCGUUUUCCAGUGUGAAAGUUUGCCUCCUUCUCAGAUUGCUUUAAAAAAAUAAAUAAAUAAAAUGAGGGUCUGAAGCCAGUACAGAUUGUCAUAGUCUAGUACUGUCUUUCUCUUCACCGACUCUGCUAACGGCAAAGCAUUACACCUAAGGCAUUAGUUGAAGAAAAAAAAAUAGCGUGGGGAGGUAGUUUUUCAACCUGUUAGUCUUCUCUUGGAUAAGACUUUAAAGUUCAUAUUUAAAAUACUCCCAGGUUCCUAAAAUGAAAGCGAAGCAAAAGACCGGAUCAAGUAAAAGGAAGUACUUUGAAAGAAUCCAAUAAAAACCUUGAGAUUGGUUCGAGAAAUGAAAUAGUUUAUUGGAAAAAAGAGUUAUUUGAAAUAUCCUGGAAAAGUAAACAGGAUUUUAACUGUGGAUAUUUGAGAGAAGCAACAUCAGAAAAGAUUCUAGCAAAGAAGUGUCUUUAGUAUUACACCUUUCUUAAAUACUCAAAAAACUGCUUUUUAAAAGGAAUUCAGUUGCCUCAAAAAUGGGUUUUACAUAUUCCAAAGGUGAGGCAGACAUUUUUCUGAUUCUGUGAAUUGCUCAUUUGUGAACUCUUAGGGAUAGAGGUAACAUCAGUGGCCUCCUGAUGCUGAAAUCCCUGAAAAGACUAAAACACCUCAGAUCUCGGUGAGUAAGUCUGAAGUAAGGGAGUGAAGUGUCCUUGCAGGAUGGAGAGAACUUUCAGGGAGUGAAGUGUCCCUGCAGGAUGGAGAAAACUUUCGCUUGACCUUCCACACAUCUCUCUUUUAAAUGUGGGGGACAUGACUAAGCUACCAAAAUCCUCUGGAUCCAAGCUACUUGAAGCCGUGAGGAGAAGUUUCAAGGCCCAUCAACCAACAUCUCAAGCUGUUAUCUGGCCAACAACCAUACCCACCUGCCUUCCCUAUGGAGGAAAACUAAGAAGAGAAUUUUAUUUUCCCGUUUUUCAGUGUUUCCUGAGCCGUUACUAGCCGAGAUUAACAAGGUAGACAGAACAAGCAAACAGACGUAUGUAUUACUAUUGCACAUGUGUACAUGAUGCAUGCGUAGAGACACAACUGCCUAUUACAUUUGAUGUGUGAUGGACAGAGGACAGCUGUGUGCAGCCAGUUCUUCCCAUGGGGGUCCGGGGAAUUGAACUCAGGUCGUCAGGCUUUGUAGCAAAUACCACAAGCUGACCCCAAGCAAAAGUUUGUUGUUGUUGUUGUUGUUAUUGUUGUUGUUCUAUAAGUUGCCAAAUAUCUGACUGCUAGGAAACAAAAGUGAAUUCGCCUUUUAGUACUAUUAAAUCAAUUCAUUCAUGUGGAUAAAUCUUACCUCCACAAUAAAAGUUAUUUUAAAAAACCAGAACCACAUUUCUGGAGUUCUGAUUCCAAAUUCAGAGAUAAGUGCGGCUGCCUGGCUGUGUGUGAAGAAUAC